rnacentral:rRNA from 1 species
CACGUAGGGCGCAAGCGUUGUCCGGAAUUAUUGGGCGUAAAGAGCUCGUAGGCGGUCUGUUGCGUCUGCUGUGAAAACCCGGGGCUUAACCCCUGGCUUGCAGUGGAUACGGACAGACUAGAGGUAGGUAGGGGAGAAUGGAAUUCCCGGUGUAGCGGUGAAAUGCGCAGAUAUCAGGAGGAACACCGAUGGCGAAGGCAGGUCUCUGGGCCACUACUGACGCUGAGAAGCGAAAGCGUGGGGAGCGAACAGG